GAUGAACGCUAGCUACAGGCUUAACACAUGCAAGUCGAGGGGAAACGACAUCGAAAGCUUGCUUUUGAUGGGCGUCGACCGGCGCACGGGUGAGUAACGCGUAUCCAACCUGCCCAUCACUUGGGAAUAACCUUGCGAAAGUAAGACUAAUACCCAAUGAUAUCCCACGAAGGCAUCGGAAUGGGAUUAAAGAUUUAUCGGUGAUGGAUGGGGAUGCGUCUGAUUAGCUUGUUGGCGGGGUAACGGCCCACCAAGGCAACGAUCAGUAGGGGUUCUGAGAGGAAGGUCCCCCACAUUGGAGCUGAGACACGGUCCAAACUCCUACGGGAGGCAGCAGUGAGGAAUAUUGGUCAAUGGGCGAGAGCCUGAACCAGCCAAGUAGCGUGCAGGAAGACGGCCCUAUGGGUUGUAAACUGCUUUUAUAAGGGAAUAAAGUGGGUCACGUGUGACUUUUUGCAUGUACCUUAUGAAUAAGGACCGGCUAAUUCCGUG
rnacentral:rRNA from 1 species